GGGUUUUUGCAUAUACAGCAGAAACUCCCAUGCUUUCUUUGUUAUAGUGACUUGGUUUCUUUGAAUGUCAGUGUUCUCAACUAUAUGAUUACACUGCUCAGACUUUCUUGGAUUUCUAUGUGGCUAGAGUUCAGAUGAUGUAUUACAAGCAGAAGUGCAACUUCACUUCUAGGAAGUAUUCCUAAAAGGAUCUAAUGUAGCCAGGAUAUGUACCCUUUUGUUCUUUCUCCUUUCUCCCUUUUUUUUAGGCACAAAUUUCUAUGUUGGAGCUCCAGCAGCCCUUCUAGACCAUGAUCUAAAAAGAAAGCCUCCUAUGAAGAGACUAAAAGAGAAAGAUGCCAGAAACCUGGGUCUCUGAUGUUUCUGUAGCUGCAGAUUUGUUUGCAGUGUGUGGUUUAAAGCUUCAGCCUCCCCAGAAGGGCUGUGGGUUUUAGAGCAACUAGAGGGGAUUAUUUCAAGCAUACCUGCUUCAGCCUCUCAGGAGGAGGACUUGGACACUGCUUUGCUCAUAUGAAGACGCUCUGGUGCCUUUUCUCUCUCCUAUUGGGCAUGACUCAGCUGACCUAACUGGGGCUGAUUUUUAAGAGCAAAUAUCCAAAAGAUGAAAUGGAAGCCAUCAGUUUCAUAAGGAUUGGAUAUAGAAACUGGCACAGCAUCAUUUCCACCAUAUUCCCUUGGCCAAGCAGUGAUGUAAUCUGGAAUAAAGGGAGAGAUUCAGACAAUCUAGAGAAGGGAAUGGAAACCCACUCCAGUACUCUUGUCUGGGAAAUCCCAUGAACAGAGGAACCUGGGGGGCUAUAGUACAGAGGGUCUCAAGAGUCAGACACAACUUAACAACUAAACCACCACCACCACAAACAUAAUGGGAGAAAUGUUGAAAAAUACUGGAGCUAUCUUCAAAGCCACAACCACAGUAAUUGCCAUGCUCCCUGAGACAAGCUUUGUUCUUUUUUGUAUUUAGGGAAUAUUAUUUUUAAUGUUUGGCUAAGCAUUUUAUUUUGUAGAUGAAAGACAAUCCCUGCACAAAUGGAUUUUUCAAAAACAAUCCCAUGGUUUAAGAGUCCUUUAAGGACAGGCUAGCACUCUCUGCUGAUUUGAAAGAACUCAUCUCUAUUAAAACACACACACAUGGCAUCCUUAUUCUAUUAUAUAUCCCCAGGAAGCAAGUUGAUCAAUAUGCAGGGUUUCGCAUUGGUUCUAGUAACUUAAUAUCAUUCUCAUCAACUGAAUCUCAUCCUGUACCCUAUAGGGUUAUAGUAACCCUAUAAGUAGGCUGUUUUUGUUACUUUUCCCCACAGUGUGACUUUUCUUAAAGUCUUUUUUUCUGCUGAGAAUACUGUCCCACAGGCUGUCUCUCAUCUACAUCCAAAUCCACUCUCUAGCUGGGCUGUAUUUUUAUUUAUUUUUAACUGAAGGGUAACUGCUUUGCACUAUUGUGUUGGAUCGUAUUUUUUUCGUAGUGUUUCUUACCCGCCGUUUCCCAGCGAGCUAGCAGCCAAGUCAGAACACCUGUGAAUUCUUUGAUCAUGAGCAGUUGAGCUCAUCAUGAACUAAAUAAGCCUCUCUAAGUGUACCGAUGGUAAAAGAUCAGCAUCAAUAAGUUAGUUAAAUUCUGGUAAUAUCCCAGUAGCUCAGUUAGGCUCUAGUAAUACCUUUGUGGGUUAAUCACUGCUUAAUUAGCUGCUCCUGAGGGCUGACCUUGCUAAGAAAGGAGAGCUCUUGCAAUUCAAAAGGGCUUCUUUCCCCGCUCCUUGCUGAAGCUUGAGAGGAUUCUUCUCUUAUAUUUACUGAGAGCUCCUGUAGGUAAAUCUUGCAAAACUGUGGGGACCCUUGUGCUUGGGUCUCCCUGAAGUUUUUACAUCUCAGAGUUGUCCAGACCAAACCUCAAGCAAGUCACUAAUUACAGUUCAAGCUUUCCUGCCCCAGAACUGGUUCCUGAGGCCAUCUCCACUGUUGACAACUCUUCAAGGACAAAUACUGAACCCUGUGGGGGGAAGAAAAAAAUAACAGAUUGCCAGAUAGACUGAAAAACAAUUUAGCACUCAGCAAGAAAAGAAGCGAGAACUCAAGUUGAAACAGCCCAUGUAGACAAUGUCACCGCAGCACUUCUAGGUAAAAAGGAAGCACAACACCCCCUGAACAUCUCAAUUAGGGAAUCAAGGUGAACUGAAACCUUUUCCUGAA